UUGUACUGUAAGAAUAAAGGAUCGGCUAACUCCGUGCCAGCAGCCGCGGUAAUACGGAGGAUCCAAGCGUUAUCCGGAUUCAUUGGGUUUAAAGGGUGCGUAGGCGGAAUGAUAAGUCAGUGGUGAAAUUCUCGCAGCUUAACUGCGAAACUGCCAUUGAUACUGUCAAUCUUGAGUACAUUUGAUGAGGGCGGAAUGUGUCAUGUAGCGGUGAAAUGCUUAGAUAUGACACAGAACACCGAUUGCGAAGGCAGCUCUCAAAACUGUAACUGACGCUGAGGCACGAAAGCGUGGGUAUCAAACAGGAUUAGAUACCCUGGUAGUCCACGCUGUAAACUAUGAUUACUCGAUGUUUGCGAUACACAGUAAGCGUCUAAGCGAAAGCGAUAAGUAAUCCACUGGGGAGUACGCUCGCAAGAGUGAAACUCAAAGGAAUUGACGGAGG
rnacentral:rRNA from 1 species